rnacentral:hammerhead_ribozyme from 1 species
GCACUGCUGACGAGUCCCAACACAGGACGAGACAGCUGUGUUCAGUGC